rnacentral:rRNA from 1 species
AGUGAACGCUGGCGGUAGGCCUAACACAUGCAAGUCGAACGGCAGCACAGUAAGCGCUUGCUCUUACGGGUGGCGAGUGGCGGACGGGUGAGGAAUGCAUCGGCAUCUACUUUUUCGUGGGGGAUAACGUGGGGACACUUGCGCUAAUACCGCAUACGACCUACCGGUGAAAGCAGGGGAUCUUCGGACCUUGCGCGAUUGAAUGAGCCGAUGUCGGAUUAGCUAGUUGGCGGGGUAAAGGCCCACCAAGGCGACGAUCCGUAGCUGGUCUGAGAGGAUGAUCAGCCACACUGGAACUGAGACACGGUCCAGACUCCUACGGGAGGCAGCAGUAGGGAAUAUUGGACAAUGGGCGCAAGCCUGAUCCAGCCAUACCGCGUGGGUGAAGAAGGCCUUCGGGUUGUAAAGCCCUUUUGUUGGGAAAGAAAAGCAGCAGGUUAAUACCCCGCUGUUCUGACGGUACCCAAAGAAUAAGCACCGGCUAACUUCGUG